GAUGAACGCUGGCGGCGUGCCUAAUACAUGCAAGUCGAGCGAACAGACGAGGAGCUUGCUCCUCUGACGUUAGCGGCGGACGGGUGAGUAACACGUGGAUAACCUACCUAUAAGACUGGGAUAACUUCGGGAAACCGGAGCUAAUACCGGAUAAUAUAUUGAACCGCAUGGUUCAAUAGUGAAAGACGGUUUUGCUGUCACUUAUAGAUGGAUCCGCGCCGCAUUAGCUAGUUGGUAAGGUAACGGCUUACCAAGGCGACGAUGCGUAGCCGACCUGGGAGUGUGAUCGGCCACACUGGAACUGAGACACGGUCCAGACUCCUACGGGAGGCAGCAGUAGGGAAUCUUCCGCAAUGGGCGAAAGCCUGACGGAGCAACGCCGCGUGAGUGAUGAAGGUCUUCGGAUCGUAAAACUCUGUUAUUAGGGAAGAACAAAUGUGUAAGUAACUAUGCACGUCUUGACGGUACCUAAUCAGAAAGCCACGGCUAACUACGUG
rnacentral:rRNA from 1 species